rnacentral:lncRNA from 1 species
GGAGGCAUAAAUCUGAUAACCUAAGUUUUGUAAAAAAUAUAGUUGCUAUUUAGUAUUUUUGCAGGAAACCAUAUACAAUUAUUCUUUUGAAACAAGUCCUUAAUUUUUCAAUAAUAUAUAAUUAAAGAUUGUUUCAUGCAAUAUAGACGCUACUGCACUACAGCUGUAACUGUAUAUUGACGGUUUUGGCACGCUCUUAAUUAUCAUUAAAUACAGCAGAUAGACAAAAGGAGUGAAAUUGACCACUAAAUGCUGAAGUUCAAUAAAAAUAAUCCUUGCCCCAAAGUUAAGGCAUGAAUUUGGUGCCCUCCAUUAAUUAACCUCUCAAAUCUCAUGUUUAAUGAGGUUCUCCUACCUUCCUCGUGGAGAAUAUCUUUCUUUUUUGCCCCUCCACCUCUUAAUUUUUACUUAGUUGGAAAAAUGAAUCGGUAAACUUCAAAUACCCCCUCGUGGUUUCACACUUUCUCACUUUAGCUUGUUAUUUAAAGUAUAUCAAGUUAGCAUAUGUGGUUUCGUAUUUUCUCACUUUAGUAUCUUGUGGUUUAAAGUGUAUCUAGUUAGUACCCUGUGGUUUCGUUUUACUCUUUUUAUUAUCCAUUUCACUAAUUUUUUUCGUUAAAUCAGUGACAAAAUUAUAAUUAAAAGGUGCUAAAGUGAAUAUUCGAUAAACCUAAGUAAGAUAUCUGAAAUUUUUUAUAUAUAAUUUAACGAAAUAUUAACAAUGGAGUCGACAAAGAGAAAAAAACGAAACCAUAGGGAAUCAAAGUGAUGCACUUCAAACCACAAGAUACUAAUUAAAAAAGUGCGAAACUGCAGGGUGCUAAAUUGAUACACUUUAAAUCACAUAAUACUAAAAUAAAAAAGUGCGAAAUUACAGGGGUGAUAUUUGAUGUUUUUCCAAAAUGACUUGUU